CCUACGGGAGGCUGCAGUGAGGAAUAUUGGUCAAUGGACGAGAGUCUGAACCAGCCAAGUAGCGUGAAGGAUGACUGCCCUAUGGGUUGUAAACUUCUUUUAUAUGGGAAUAAAAUGUUCCACGUGUGGGAUUUUGUAUGUACCAUAUGAAUAAGGAUCGACUAACUCCGUGCCAGCAGCCGCGGUAAUACGGAGGAUCCGAGCGUUAUCCGGAUUUAUUGGGUUUAAAGGGAGCGUAGGUGGAUUGUUAAGUCAGUUGUGAAAGUUUGCGGCUCAACCGUAAAAUUGCAGUUGAAACUGGCAGUCUUGAGUACAGUAGAGGUGUGCGGAAUUCGUGGUGUAGCGGUGAAAUGCUUAGAUAUCACGAAGAACUCCGAUUGCGAAGGCAGUUCACUGGACUGCAACUGACACUGAGGCUCGAAAGUGUGGGUAUCAAACAGGAUUAGAUACCCCAGUAGUC
rnacentral:rRNA from 1 species